rnacentral:rRNA from 1 species
UAGGGAAUCUUCGGCAAUGGACGAAAGUCUGACCGAGCAACGCCGCGUGAGUGAAGAAGGGUUUCGGAUCGUAAAACUCUGUUGUUAGAGAAGAACAAGGACGUUAGUAACUGAACGUCCCCUGACGGUAUCUAACCAGAAAGCCACGGCUAACUACGUGCCAGCAGCCGCGGUAAUACGUAGGUGGCAAGCGUUGUCCGGAUUUAUUGGGCGUAAAGCGAGCGCAGGCGGUUUCUUAAGUCUGAUGUGAAAGCCCCGGGCUCAACCGGGGAGGGUCAUUGGAAACUGGGAGACUUGGGUGCAGAAGAGGAGAGUGGAAUUCCAUGUGUAGCGGUGAAAUGCGUAGAUAUAUGGAGGAACACCAGUGGCGAAGGCGGCUCUCUGGGCUGUAACUGACGCUGAGGCUCGAAAGCGUGGGGAGCAAACAGG